rnacentral:rRNA from 1 species
AUUGAACGCUGGCGGCAGGCCUAACACAUGCAAGUCGAGCGGAGUGGCGGACGGGUGAGUAAUGGAUAGGAAUGUGCCUGGUAGCGGGGGAUAACUACGCGAAAGGGGCGCUAAUACCGCAUCCUAUUGGAUGAGCCUCAGUCGGAUUAGCUAGUUGGUGGGGUAAAGGCCUACCAAGGCGACGAUCCGUAACUGGUCUGAGAGGAUGAUCAGCCACACUGGAACUGAGACACGGUCCAGACUCCUACGGGAGGCAGCAGUGGGGAAUAUUGGACAAUGGGCGAAAGCCUGAUCCAGCCAUGCCGCGUGUGUGAAGAAGGUCUUCGGAUUGUAAAGCACUUUAAGUUGGGAGGCGUUACCAACAGAAUAAGCACCGGCUAACUUCGUGCCAGCAGCCGCGGUAAUAC